AACGCUGCCGGCGUGCCUAACACAUGCAAAUCGAGCGGGUUUCUACAGCGCACCGUAGGAACUAGCGGUAAACGGGUGAGUAACACGUAAGAAACCUUCCCUAAAAUGGAGAAUACCCUCGAGAAAUCGAGGUUAAUGCUGCAUAAGACCACAUUCCGGCAUCGGAAAGGGGUCAAAGGCCCGCAAGGGUCGUUUUAGGAUGGUCUUGCGUCCUAUCAGCUAGUUGGUGAGGUAACGGCUCACCAAGGCUAUGACGGGUAGCCGGCCUGAAAGGGCGAUCGGCCACACUGGAACUGAGACACGGUCCAGACUCCUACGGGAGGCAGCAGUGGGGAAUUUUGGACAAUGGGCGAAAGCCUGAUCCAGCAACGCCGCGUGAAGGACGACGGUCUUCGGAUUGUAAACUUCUUUUGUAGGGAACGAAAAAAAUGACGGUACCCUAAGAAAAAGCAACGGCUAACUACGUGCCAGCAGCCGCGGUAAUACGUAGGUUGCAAGCGUUACUCGGAUUUACUAGGCGUAAAGCGCAUGUAGGUGGUUGGAUAAGUCUGCAGUGAAAUUUCCCGGCUUAACUGGGAAGGGUCUGCAGAAACUGUCUGACUUGAGUGUGGUAGGGGGAGACGGAAUUCCAGGUGUAGCGGUGAAAUGCGUAGAUAUCUGGAGGAACACCAAUGGCGAAAGCAGUCUCCUGGACCAAUACUGACACUGAGGUGCGAAAGCUAGGGGAGCAAACAGGAUUAGAUACCCUGGUAGUCCUAGCUGUAAACUAUGUUCACUAGAUGUGGGAGGUAUCGACCCCUUCCGCGUCGACGCUAACGCAUUAAGUGAACCGCCUGGGGAGUACGGCCGCAGGGUUGAAACUCAAAG
rnacentral:rRNA from 1 species